GGUUAAGCGACUAAGCGUACACGGUGGAUGCCCUGGCAGUCAGAGGCGAUGAAGGACGUGCUAAUCUGCGAAAAGCGCCGGCGAGGUGAUAUGAACCCUUGACCCGGCGAUGUCCGAAUGGGGAAACCCAGUGUGAUUCGUCACACUAUCGUUAACUGAAUACAUAGGUUAACGAGGCGAACCGGGGGAACUGAAACAUCUAAGUACCCCGAGGAAAAGAAAUCAACCGAGAUUCCCCCAGUAGCGGCGAGCGAACGGGGAGCAGCCCGGAGUCUGAAUCAGCUUGUGUGUUAGUGGAACGGUCUGGAAAGUCCGACGGUACAGGGUGAUAGUCCCGUACACGAAAGCACACUUGCUGUGAACUCGAAGAGUAGGGCGGGACACGUGGUAUCCUGUCUGAAUAUGGGGGGGACCAUCCUCCAAGGCUAAAUACUCCUGACUGACCGAUAGUGAACCAGUACCGUGAGGGAAAGGCGAAAAGAACCCCGGCGAGGGGAGUGAAAAAGAACCUGAAACCGUGUACGUACAAGCAGUGGGAGCACCUUCGUGGUGUGACUGCGUACCUUUUGUAUAAUGGGUCAGCGACUUAUAUUCUGUAGCAAGGUUAACCGUAUAGGGGAGCCGAAGGGAAACCGAGUCUUAACUGGGCGUUAAGUUGCAGGGUAUAGACCCGAAACCCGGUGAUCUAGCCAUGGGCAGGUUGAAGGUUGGGUAACACUAACUGGAGGACCGAACCGACUAAUGUUGAAAAAUUAGCGGAUGACCUGUGGCUGGGGGUGAAAGGCCAAUCAAACCGGGAGAUAGCUGGUUCUCCCCGAAAGCUAUUUAGGUAGCGCCUCGUGAACUCAUCUUCGGGGGUAGAGCACUGUUUCGGCUAGGGGGCCAUCCCGGCUUACCAACCCGAUGCAAACUACGAAUACCGAAGAAUGUUAUCACGGGAGACACACGGCGGGUGCUAACGUCCGUCGUGAAGAGGGAAACAACCCAGACCGCCAGCUAAGGUCCCAAAGUCAUGGUUAAGUGGGAAACGAUGUGGGAAGGCACAGACAGCCAGGAUGUUGGCUUAGAAGCAGCCAUCAUUUAAAGAAAGCGUAAUAGCUCACUGGUCGAGUCGGCCUGCGCGGAAGAUGUAACGGGGCUAAACCAUGCACCGAAGCUGCGGCAGCGACACUAUGUGUUGUUGGGUAGGGGAGCGUUCUGUAAGCCGUUGAAGGUGUGCUGUGAGGCAUGCUGGAGGUAUCAGAAGUGCGAAUGCUGACAUAAGUAACGAUAAAGCGGGUGAAAAGCCCGCUCGCCGGAAGACCAAGGGUUCCUGUCCAACGUUAAUCGGGGCAGGGUGAGUCGACCCCUAAGGCGAGGCCGAAAGGCGUAGUCGAUGGGAAACAGGUUAAUAUUCCUGUACUUGGUGUUACUGCGAAGGGGGGACGGAGAAGGCUAUGUCAGCCGGGCGACGGUUGUCCCGGUUUAAGCAUGUAGGCGGAGGUUCCAGGUAAAUCCGGUACCUUAUUAACGCUGAGGUGUGAUGACGAGGCACUACGGUGCUGAAGUGAUAAAUGCCCUGCUUCCAGGAAAAGCCUCUAAGCAUCAGGUAACACGAAAUCGUACCCCAAACCGACACAGGUGGUCAGGUAGAGAAUACCAAGGCGCUUGAGAGAACUCGGGUGAAGGAACUAGGCAAAAUGGUGCCGUAACUUCGGGAGAAGGCACGCUGAUGUGUAGGUGAAGCCCCUGCGGGCGGAGCUGAAAUCAGUCGAAGAUACCAGCUGGCUGCAACUGUUUAUUAAAAACACAGCACUGUGCAAACACGAAAGUGGACGUAUACGGUGUGACGCCUGCCCGGUGCCGGAAGGUUAAUUGAUGGGGUUAGCUGUAAGGCGAAGCUCUUGAUCGAAGCCCCGGUAAACGGCGGCCGUAACUAUAACGGUCCUAAGGUAGCGAAAUUCCUUGUCGGGUAAGUUCCGACCUGCACGAAUGGCGUAAUGAUGGCCAGGCUGUCUCCACCCGAGACUCAGUGAAAUUGAACUCGCUGUGAAGAUGCAGUGUACCCGCGGCAAGACGGAAAGACCCCGUGAACCUUUACUAUAGCUUGACACUGAACACUGGUCCUUGAUGUGUAGGAUAGGUGGGAGGCUUUGAAGCGUGGACGCCAGUCUGCGUGGAGCCGCCCUUGAAAUACCACCCUUUAAUGGCUGGUGUUCUAACGUAGACCCGUAAUCCGGGUUGCGGACAGUGUCUGGUGGGUAGUUUGACUGGGGCGGUCUCCUCCCAAAGAGUAACGGAGGAGCACGAAGGUUGGCUAAUCCUGGUCGGACAUCAGGAGGUUAGUGCAAUGGCAUAAGCCAGCUUGACUGCGAGCGUGACGGCGCGAGCAGGUGCGAAAGCAGGUCAUAGUGAUCCGGUGGUUCUGAAUGGAAGGGCCAUCGCUCAACGGAUAAAAGGUACUCCGGGGAUAACAGGCUGAUACCGCCCAAGAGUUCAUAUCGACGGCGGUGUUUGGCACCUCGAUGUCGGCUCAUCACAUCCUGGGGCUGAAGUAGGUCCCAAGGGUAUGGCUGUUCGCCAUUUAAAGUGGUACGCGAGCUGGGUUUAGAACGUCGUGAGACAGUUCGGUCCCUAUCUGCCGUGGGCGCUGGAGAAUUGAGGGGGGCUGCUCCUAGUACGAGAGGACCGGAGUGGACGCAUCACUGGUGUUCGGGUUGUCAUGCCAAUGGCACUGCCCGGUAGCUAAAUGCGGAAGAGAUAAGUGCUGAAAGCAUCUAAGCACGAAACUUGCCCCGAGAUGAGUUCUCCCUGAGACUUUAAGUCUCCUGAAGGAACGUUAAAGACUAUGACGUUGAUAGGUCGGGUGUGUAAGCGCAGCGAUGCGUUGAGCUAACCGAUACUAAUGAACCGUGAGGCUUAACCUU
rnacentral:rRNA from 1 species